CAUGCCUAUAAUUCCAGUUAUUCGGGAUGCUGAGGCAGGAGAAUCACUUGAACCUGGGAAGUGGAGGUUGCAGUGAGCCGAGAUGGUGCCACUGCACUCCAGCCUGGGCGUGAGACUCCAUCUCAAAAAAAAAAAAAAAAAAGUCAGUACAAAUCCCAGAUGUACUGAGUCAAAUUGAGUGAGAACUUCUGUAAGUGAGCCGAGGCACGGGGAGCAGGAAGACAUUCCCAGCUGGUGUGGACACGCCUGGGCCGAAGAACUUCUGCUUUAAAUACAUGCAGCUCACAACACCUCCGGGCCCAGUGACAGUAACUGUGUGGAAACUUAAGCAAGAUAUCAAGGCGUUUUGUUCUUCUUCUCGGGCACUCUUAAGAGAUUAUCAGGAUGCGUUUCAGGACUGCGUUUCUGAAUAGUGACUGCUGUGCAGAGAACGCCACGGAGCAGCGAGACGCUGCGAGCGUGCCAGUCAAAGGUGAUGCACCUGGAGCGGGCCUUGCAGGACGUCAGCGCACGUCACCAGCUGGAGAGGCAAAGGAGGAAGGUCCUGCACAACAGCCUGCUGCUGGGCGCAGGUGUCGUGGGAGACCCACGAGGGACACGCAGAAGCCCCUCUCGGGAGGGUGCUGGGCAGGAAGGACAGCGGGGCAGCCUGGCCAGACGGCAGAGGGGCAGAGCCACGGCGGCUGUGACUGGUGUCCCCUUAACCCAGGCGGCGAUGGCAGCUGGAGGAGGGGUG
rnacentral:lncRNA from 1 species